rnacentral:lncRNA from 1 species
UUUGGAUCCAGAAUGCAGCAGGGAUGAGGGCUGGCCAGCUCAAGAGCCAUUUUACCAGCUUAACAUCCUCAGUGGAAAAAGUAAACUUACCCUCUCCUUAGUGGCCCGGGCCGAAAAUCCUGGUAACCACACCUGUGGAAAGCCCAUCUGUUCAGACUAAGAAUUCAUGUUAGUAUGUCAGGCAGCAGGACACGGGAUUCUGAUGAUCAUAGAGGAAGGAAGUUUUCCUAAGGAAAUUGCUAGCUGAUGCAGAGGUUUGCAUAUGAAGAAGGAAUCUGCAUUUGUAAGCACCUGGGAGAUAUGAGCAGGAUAUAGAGAGAACAGACAUUAAGAAAUAUUGGUCCAACGAUACAUUACAUUAAGAAAUGUACCAUCUGAGAACUCUUCUUCUUCCUUCAAGACACAGUUCAAAUAUCUUCACUGAAGAUUUCUUUGAUGCCCUGAAAACAACUUGAUCGUUUUUCCCCCAUGUUACACCUUGUAUAUGCUUCUG